UACGAAGGUCCCAAGCGUUGUUCGGAUUUACUGGGCGUAAAGAGUACGUAGGCGGAGGGGUAAGUCAGAUGUGAAAGCCCGGGGCUCAACUCCGGAACUGCAUCCGAUACUGCCUUUCUAGAGUAGUGGAGGGGAGUCUGGAAUUCACGGUGUAGCAGUGAAAUGCGUAGAUAUCGUGAGGAACACUAGUGGCGAAGGCGAGACUCUGGACACUUACUGACGCUGAGGUACGAAGGCCAGGGUAGCGAAAAGG
rnacentral:misc_RNA from 1 species